rnacentral:tRNA from 1 species
GCGGACAUAGCUCAGCGGUAGAGUACGAGCUUCCCAAGCUCGGUGUCGCGGGUUCGAAUCCCGUUGUCCGCUC